rnacentral:rRNA from 1 species
UACGUAGGGGGCAAGCGUUGUCCGGAAUUAUUGGGCGUAAAGAGCGCGUAGGCGGUCCGAUAAGUCGGCUGUGAAAGUCAGGGGCUCAACCCUUGGAAGCCGGCCGAUACUGUCGGACUAGAGUCCGGAAGAGGCGAGUGGAAUCCCGGUGUAGCGGUGAAAUGCGCAGAUAUCGGGAGGAACACCAAUGGCGAAGGCAGCUCGCUGGGACGGUACUGACGCUGAGGCGCGAAAGCG